GUGCGCGCUUACAAAUAGAACAAAUGUAUCCACACCAAUCAAUAAAGUUAUUGAAAACUAAAGUGUGUUACUGUGUUCAAAUGAAGAAAUGAAAAUACAAGAGUUACUGACUUUAGAGUGUGGCCACGGGUUUGGCCAUCACAAUGUGCAGACUCCAGCUGUGGUAAUGUGGGCGGAUGAAGAUGGUCACUGAUGGACCUCCACCCCUGCCUUCUGGUCAUCUGUGUUACUGAUUAAGACUUACCUCUGCUCUGUGCGUGUGUGUGUGUGUGCAUGUGUAACAGUGCCCCAAGCAGAUGAGGGCACAGCAGGCGUGAUGCCAACUCAUGCAGCUUCUCCUUAGAAGUCACUCAGCGCCCCGUCCGUGUAGACAAAGAGCAAUAAUGGGAGAAAAAAGACACAGACUAGGCUCCUCCAGGCAGACCCAUUGCUAACCAGCCUCUGAGUGCUGAAUGAGAAGGCAGACCCCCGCCAUGCCAGAUUCACCAGGUCUUUCUCCCAGUGAGAGCGAUGAUUCAGCUUCUCAUCUGGGUCCUGUGCCAGUAUAGCAUUUACUAGCAGAUGGAUAAACAGGUUUGGAAAUCCCCUCCCUGUACUAAGUGUUCUAGGUUUCCGAGUGUUUUCCCAGUUUAGGUUUUCAUGGUUGGUUCUGUUUGCUACUCAGCCAGAAUAAACAGCUCGCUUUUUUAAAAGUAGGCUCCAGAAUGGAUGAUGGGAUGUUCGCAUGUCUUUAUGUAACACUGAGUGUGCUGAACUAAAGGUAGGCCUAGUUUCAUUUUCAUGGUCAUUAUUAUCAAGACAAUGAUUAAGCCUUAUUCUGAUUAUUUCUCCCUUUUGGAGGUGUAACUUUUACAUGAGGGGUGUAGGAACAUUUCCCCCUGAAUAUAUUUUGAUAAACUAAUGUUGAAGUCACUGUUUAUUGUUGUAUUGUUGAUGCAGCUAGAAUAAAUGCUUUUAAAUAAAAGAAUAACCAUUCAAAGUGCUCAGUGGUGAAACAGUAACUCUUUCAGAUUUUGACAGCUGGACAAGUGAUGCCUUAUUCAAAGAAACAUGAGAUGAGUUCAGCAUAUUAUCUGAACAGAGAUCAUUCAAUGAGCAAGAAUAAACACUGACAAGAGAAACACUUCACUGUUGAUUAUCAUAUGAAGUCUAAUGAAAGCUGUUAAUCUGUUAAUAUCCUGUUAAUCUGCAUACAGCAAAUAAAGAACAUGUGACUUUAAAGCAUCCAGCAAAGUGAUAACUGUCCUCUGCCCACUAAGUAGUGACUCUACAAAAGAUUACAUUCAAUAUCAUCUUUAUAUUAUAUUUAUAUUAUAUUUAGUUAUUCUCCAGUGCAACAAAGCCAUGUAGGGCAAUGUAAGGAGCUCUGUGAUUGGUUAGGAAAGGACAGACUGGCUACCUCGAUUUUUCUUCACUGCACAUCGAUCCAUAGCUUUGCACUGCAAAGGCUAACAAUAGACUUUUGCUUUUACAAAGACAUUUAGCCUCGGUAUUCCCUCUCUUAAAAUGCCACUGGACACUGGAGUGAA